rnacentral:rRNA from 1 species
CGCAAGCCUGAUGCAGCCAUGCCGCGUGUAUGAAGAAGGCCUUCGGGUUGUAAAGUACUUUCAGCAGUGAGGAAGGUGGAUAUGUUAAUAGCAUAUUCAUUUGACGUUAGCUGCAGAAGAAGCACCGGCUAACUCCGUGCCAGCAGCCGCGGUAAUACGGAGGGUGCGAGCGUUAAUCGGAAUUACUGGGCGUAAAGCGCAUGCAGGUGGUUUGUUAAGUCAGAUGUGAAAGCCCGGGGCUCAACCUCGGAAUUGCAUUUGAAACUGGCAAACUAGAGUACUGUAGAGGGGGUAGAAUUUCAGGUGUAGCGGUGAAAUGCGUAGAGAUCUGAAGGAAUACCGGUGGCGAAGGCGGCCCCCUGGACAGAUACUGACACUCAGAUGCGAAAGCGUGGGGAGCAAACAGGAUUAGAUACCCUGGUAG